GACGAACGCUGGCGGCGUGCUUAACACAUGCAAGUCGAACGGAAAGGCCCUGCUUUUGUGGGGUGCUCGAGUGGCGAACGGGUGAGUAACACGUGAGUAACCUGCCCUUGACUUUGGGAUAACUUCAGGAAACUGGGGCUAAUACCGGAUAGGAGCUCCUGCUGCAUGUGGGGGGUGGAAAGUUUCGGCGGUUGGGGAUGGACUCGCGGCUUAUCAGCUUGGUGGGGGGGUAGUGGCUUACCAAGGCUUUGACGGGUAGCCGGCCUGAGAGGGUGACCGGCCACAUUGGGACUGAGAUACGGCCCAGACUCCUACGGGAGGCAGCAGUGGGGAAUAUUGCACAAUGGGCGGAAGCCUGAUGCAGCAACGCCGCGUGCGGGAUGACGGCCUUCGGGUUGUAAACCGCUUUCGCCUGUGACGAAGCGUGAGUGACGGUAAUGGGUAAAGAAGCACCGGCUAACUACGUG
rnacentral:rRNA from 1 species